UUAAUAAUUAACAUUUGUUUUUAUUCUUUGUUGUAGCAUCACUUGUGUUGAUGUUGAGUAUGUCCCUCCCACUGAAUCACGUCGCAGACAGGCAAUUUUGCGGGUGAUGUCUCAUCAUGCAUGUAUGUUUCGUCUUGCAAAGCACGCAUGGGUUGAGUCGAUGCGUCGUGAGAUGAAUGAAGUUAAGAUGGAGCUCCGUGCUGCUGAAAGAAUGAUAGGUGUUGCGAGGCUUUGCAAAUGCAAGUGUCACCGCAAGGGCGCCAACAUGAAGAAAAAUCAAUGAUGAUGCAGAGAGAAUUAUUAUAUAAAUAAAUAAGAAAUCUCGAUGUUUCGAGUGUUUUAUGUGUGUUUUUAUUUUCAGAAAAUAAAUUGGCUGUAAUUUUGGUAGUUAUAUACCAUUUGCAUGCCUGGCUUGUGAUGUUUGUAAUCUAGACUGAUGUGUUAGACAUCUUUCUAUGUGUGUUAUGAUUUGUGUUUUUAGUAUGUUGUUGUAUAACAAAUCUUGCUAGUGAAGUGUGUAACUAAGUUUGAUGUGUAAA